rnacentral:rRNA from 1 species
CUAAAAUGAGAGUUUGAUCCUGGCUCAGGACGAACGCUGGCGGCGUGCCUAAUACAUGCAAGUCGAACGCUUUUUUCAAUCAUCGUAGCUUGCUACACCGAUUGAAAAUUGAGUGGCGAACGGGUGAGUAACACGUGGGUAACCUGCCCAAAAGAGGGGGAUAACACUUGGAAACAGGUGCUAAUACCGCAUAACCAUGAUGACCGCAUGGUCAUUAUGUAAAAGAUGGUUUCGGCUAUCACUUUUGGAUGGACCCGCGGCGUAUUAACUUGUUGGUGGGGUAACGGCCUACCAAGGUAAUGA